AUAAGCCUUUCUCUCCGCGUCCAGAUACUAGAUUAAAACCCUACGCACUUGGCAGGCAGCCGGAAUGGGGCCAUGUACUAUGGCCAGCUGCACGGUGCAGCAUCCUCCCAGGUUUGCUGGGAGCAGAGGGAAGUGUCACAGUAUUUGGAGAAGCCCUGUGGUUGGAGCACUGCUGAAGUUUCCGAAGCCAAUGACCAGGCAUAUUCCUCUUUGCCAGUUCACCUGUAGUUUACCUUCUAAGGCACAUUCGAACCUGGCUGGGAGCUCACC